AACGAACGCUGGCGGCAUGCCUAACACAUGCAAGUCGAACGAGAUCUUCGGGUCUAGUGGCGCACGGGUGCGUAACGCGUGGGAAUCUGCCCUUGGGUUCGGAAUAACUUCGGGAAACUGAAGCUAAUACCGGAUGAUGACGUAAGUCCAAAGAUUUAUCGCCCAAGGAUGAGCCCGCGUAGGAUUAGCUAGUUGGUGAGGUAAAGGCUCACCAAGGCGACGAUCCUUAGCUGGACUGAGAGGAUGAUCAGCCACACUGGGACUGAGACACGGCCCAGACUCCUACGGGAGGCAGCAGUGGGGAAUAUUGGACAAUGGGCGAAAGCCUGAUCCAGCAAUGCCGCGUGAGUGAUGAAGGCCUUAGGGUUGUAAAGCUCUUUACUGGGGAUGAUAAUGACAGUACCCAGAGAAUAAGCUCCGGCUAACUCCGUGCCAGCAGCCGCGGUAAAGUGACUACUG
rnacentral:rRNA from 1 species